AUUGAACGCUGGCGGCAUGCCUUACACAUGCAAGUCGAACGGCAGCACGGGAGCAAUCCUGGUGGCGAGUGGCGAACGGGUGAGUAAUAUAUCGGAACGUGCCCAGUCGUGGGGGAUAACGCAGCGAAAGCUGUGCCAAUACCGCAUACGAUCUAAGGAUGAAAGCGGGGGAUCGCAAGACCUCGCGCGAUUGGAGCGGCCGAUAUCAGAUUAGCUAGUUGGUGGGGUAAAGGCCCACCAAGGCGACGAUCUGUAGCUGGUCUGAGAGGACGAGCAGCCACACUGGAACUGAGACACGGUCCAGACUCCUACGGGAGGCAGCAGUGGGGAAUUUUGGACAAUGGACGCAAGCCUGAUCCAGCAAUGCCGCGUGCAGGAUGAAGGCCUCCGGGUUGUAAACUGCUUUUGUACGGAACGAAACGGCCCUUUCUAAUACAGGGGGCUAAUGACGGUACCGUAAGAAUAAGCACCGGCUAACUACGUGCCAGCCGCCGCCGUAA
rnacentral:rRNA from 1 species